rnacentral:lncRNA from 1 species
UAGCAAUGAAAUUACUACCUCCGGGCAUCAAAGGAGUGCAUAGACCAAUAUUUCACUCUGCUUUAAGCUGUUUAUAAUUGCUUUGAUUAGUGCAAUGGAAGUCUCUAGUUUGGUAGGCUGCAUUAGAUUGGACCAGGCCCGCACGGGCAGAGUUUGGAACAUUUGGUUGCCUGGCUCGCAUGUGAUUCGUAGCCCGCACAAACCUCAUGGAAACGGCCGAAUUGGUCGUUUUUUGCGAGCCAAGCUUGCUCGAGGUGAGCGUCUGC